ensembl:lncRNA
CAUCAGGGGUUUUCAACCAGGGGUCCGUGGCCAGCGUGGUCCGCGACGGCAUUGCAGGGGGUCCGCGACAUGAGCCUAUGUUGAUCAGUUCACCAUUGACUUUUUUUAUUUUUAUAAAUAUACCUGGGCCCGUCGACAUAUUUAUGUCUGAAUAGCCAAGUCGCAUUGCCCAAAAUACUGAAUACAUAUUUAGCGAAGAAAUUACACUGACAAGUAUUAUAGGCAGAAUAUGUGUGCGGGGGGAGGGGGCGUGGCGGCGGUGGCAGCGUUACAAACAUGAAAAAGAAGGGUACGGGACUUGUAAUGUUUAUGAGUUAUAACAUUGUCACAUCAGUGACGUAUGGCAUGACCCCCUACAGGCAUGCGCAGGUUGGGUGUUCAUGCAGAGCAGAGCCCGCGAGUCCGUGAACAGUACAGAUGUAUAAUUGCCUCCUUCAUAUCAGUAAACAAUCUUUCUUUAACACCCGGUCUGAUUAUUAACUCACACAACGAGAAUAUCACAUUGGCGACGAGGAUAAAACCGAAGAAGACGACUGCACUAAAAAAAAAAAAAAAAAAAGGAAGGAAGAAAAGAAUACGUGAAGGACGGUUAACGGUUAACGCGACGACACGUGAGGACAAGUGUCAGCUAGCUAGACUUGCAAGCUAACCUAGCCUAAGGUACUGGAGUGGCUAAUAGAACAUUCUAGAAAGAAAAAAAUGGCACUCAUAAACACAGUCACACUUCCAGCCUUUGAUGUCGAGAGCGAACCAAGUUCCGUGGGACCACGCUGGACUAAAUGGCUGCAAAGGUUUGAUAAUUACAUUACUGCAAUGAACAUUAACGGAGAUGCUAGACAGAAAGCAUUGCUACUGCACUUAGCAGGCGAGCGUGUUCAUGACAUCUAUGACACGUUAGCUGCGAACCAGGACAAGUUUUCAGACGCUAAGCGGAAGCUAAGCACUUACUUUGAACCUAAAAAGAACGUGCAGUAUCAAAUAUACAUGUUCAGAAAGGCAGUACAGCAGCCAAAUGAAAAUUUAGACACAUAUUGCACCGGACUACGCAUCCUAGCAAAGAACUGUUUUCCGAC